rnacentral:rRNA from 1 species
GACGAACGCUGGCGGCGUGCCUAAUACAUGCAAGUCGAACGAGAGCGACCGGUGCUUGCACUGGUCAAUCUAGUGGCGAACGGGUGAGUAACACGUGGGUAACCUGCCCAUCAGAGGGGGAUAACAUCCGGAAACGGAUGCUAAAACCGCAUAGGUCUUCGAGCCGCAUGGCUUGAAGAGGAAAAGAGGCGCAAGCUUCUGCUGAUGGAUGGACCCGCGGUGCAUUAGCUAGUUGGUGAGGUAACGGCUCACCAAGGCCGUGAUGCAUAGCCGACCUGAGAGGGUGAUCGGCCACAUUGGGACUGAGACACGGCCCAAACUCCUACGGGAGGCAGCAGUAGGGAAUCUUCCGCAAUGGACGCAAGUCUGACGGAGCAACGCCGCGUGAGUGAAGAAGGUGUUCGGAUCGUAAAACUCUGUUGUUAGAGAAGAACAAGUGCUAGAGUAACUGUUAGCGCCUUGGCGGUAUCUAACCAGAAAGCCACGGCUAACUACGUG